rnacentral:RNase_P_RNA from 1 species
AUAGCAGGCCGUCCUGUCGCGCUGCGCAAGCAGUGAGGAAAGUCUGGGCAACACAGAGCGCCGACCUUCCGAAAGAAAGGCGUCCGUGAGGGUGCAGAAGGGUAGAAGAAAAUAACCGCCGCGCAAGCGGUAAGGGUGAGAAGGCGGUGUAAGAGACCACCAAUGCCGCGGGCGACCGUGGCAGUUGUGCCCCUGUCGGGUUGAAAGGCCACGUAUAUCGCAAGCCGCUUCGGCGGGCAAGGCUGCUCGUCUUGUUUUUGGCGACAAAGGUUGCGAGGGGUAGGCCGAUAGUGGUUGCGGGCAACCGCAAUUCGAGAUAAAUGACAGGACCUUGCUCCGGCAAGGACAGAACUUGGCUUACAGGCCUGCUAUCUUU